ACGGGAGGCAGCAGUGGGGAAUAUUGGACAAUGGGCGAAAGCCUGAUCCAGCGACGCCGCGUGAGUGAAGAAGUAUUUCGGUAUGUAAAGCUCUAUCAGCAGGGACGAUAAUGACGGUACCUGACUAAGAAGCCCCGGCUAACUACGUGCCAGCAGCCGCGGUAAUACGUAGGGGGCAAGCGUUAUCCGGAUUUACUGGGUGUAAAGGGAGCGUAGGUGGCCAUGCAAGUCAGAUGUGAAAUCCCGGGGCUCAACCCCGGAGCUGCAUUUGAAACUGCGUAGCUAGAGUGCAGGAGAGGUAAGCGGAAUUCCUAGUGUAGCGGUGAAAUGCGUAGAUAUUAGGAGGAACACCAGUGGCGAAAGCGGCUUGCUGGACUGCAACUGACACUGAGGCUCGAAAGCGUGGGGAGCAAACAGGAUUAGAUACCCUGGUA
rnacentral:rRNA from 1 species